AGAUGUGCUGCGGUCGAUGUAAGGUGUUUCUGGUUGUGAUAGGUAACAAACUGUAAAUAAGCAAGAAACUGGAAAGUCAAGUCAACUUUGCUGUCAUUUAACUAUAUACAUGAAACCAUCAAUCAAGCCCAGUCUCCUAUACCUCCCACCACCCCAACACCCCAUCAUCAGUGUGCUCGCUGUCUUCCCGAUUCCACUGCACGGAUCAAUGAUUGCGCCGAGCAGGAAAACUUUCCAGGGCCUGAAAACUACGCGGCAUUUUGAAUGUUUUAUUGUGCAUGUGAAUUCUACGCAUAUUUAGAAUGAAAAUUGAAAAAUAACAUACUUUUGAUUUUAUUUAUUAAUUGAAGGGUAUAAUGAAACACAGUACAACAGAGACAAUCUUCCAUGUUUCGCAAACUUUUUCUCGUCUGUCUUUAUCCCAGCUGCACGGGAGAAUUUCAGUUACUGUGAGGCCACACACCAGUACAGAGUUUCUAAGAGUACCUACUUCAACCUCCUUAUUACUCAUAAUAAGUGUUUGUGUUCUAUCUUUUGCUUCUGAAAGGCAGGAUUGAAGUUGUGGAGGAUGCCACAUUUAUGUUGACCGAUAUCAAGAAAAGAUACUUUCAGAUUCAACGCUCUGAACUGCAGGUGUGACUUAAAAUUCCAGUUAUGCUCAGUACAUUUUAAUUUUUAUUGAUAAGUAUUAUAUCAGCCUGAAUACUUCCAUUUUCUUGCAAACUUACCCCAACUCAGUAAAAGUCUGAGCCAGAUUUUCAUUUUCCUGGACUGUUUCUGCUUAGCUAAAUCCCCUUAUAUCCGUUGUUAGGGACCCGUACCAUUCAGGACAUGUUUUCUUCUCGCUGCUGCCAUUAGGUAGAAAGUACAGGAGCCUUAGAACCAACAGUUUUACCCCAUAACCAUCAGGCUUUUGAACCAGAAGGGAUAACUUUACUUAACUUCACUUGCCCCAAUCACUGAACUCUUCCCACAACCUAUGGACUUACUUUCAAGGAUUCUUCAUUUCAUAUUCUCAAUAUUUAUUGUUUUAUUUAUUUAUUUUUAUUCCUUUCUUUUUGUAUUUGCCCAGUUUGUUGUCUUUUGCACACUGGU